GCUUCAAGUGCUCCUUAUCAGUUAGGUGUAUCUCCUGUAAAAGGCUACAUCAACCCUCUCUUUUUUUCAGACUUGAUAAUAUCUUUUUCCUUUUUAUUGGCGAGUGGCUCCCUUUAACAUUCCAGGCGCACCAUUUAAACAAAUGACUAGCCACGAUCGCUCAAGAAAGUCCGAGACCCUCCAGGAGGAAGAUCCCCACACAACAGACAUUAAGUAAAAAUCGUAAACAAUUCACAUAAGUUUAAAAAAACAACCUUUACAAAACUACUAAAAAUUACUCCCAAAAAAUAAUGACAUAAAACAUAGCUAAGAAGGGAUUGUCCCCCUUGUCCUACAAUCCAAUAGUCCCACCAUAACUCCUUCCAGCUGGAGCUAUGCCCUUGUCCCAGACAUCGCAAAAUAAAAUUAACAAAUACCAAUGUCUUAUAACAAGGAAAUUAAAAGUGGGCAUCCAGCCCAUUCCCUCCAUAUUAUUAUCCUAGGCAUUCUUAACAAAGCAGCAACAUGAAAACAUAUAUAUAAAAUUACAAUCCCAGAAAAUAUUCAAGGAAAACUCAAAAAAGCUUUGAAAACACCCCCCAGCAACCAGAUAAGCCAAGCAAAUUAUAAAUAAAAGUUAAAAGACAAGCCUCCCAGGAAAAGAUAAGAGGAAAAAAGGGGGAAGGAGGAGACAAAAGAGGGAGGUAAAGAAGAAAAAUAAUUAUCCAUAUAAUUCAAAUUCUUCAGUCUAUUUAAGAGCAUCCAAGACGUCUUUUGCUUUUUCUGGUGAACCGAAGUUCUACACAAACCCUCCAUGACUGAGGCGAAGUGUUGCUGGUUGUCUCAAGGAGUACUGAAUAUUUAAAUCCUUCAAAUGCUUCUUCACCUCAUCAAAGGCCUUCCUCUUACGUACCACAACAAGAGUGAAGUCCUGGAACAGCAUUAUAUUGGAUCAUUUAUAUAUCAUAGCUUGGGGAUCCUUCCCCAAAGCUCUGGAGGCCUCUAGCAGCAUUUGCUUGUCCCUGUAGUGCUGGAGUCGCACUAGGACCAGGCGGGGGCGCUGGCCCGACCCGGGCCUGCAAUCAGCAACCCAGUGAGCCCACUCAACCCGCACAUGGCCCAGCCCCGACUCCAGCUUCAGCAGUUCUGGGAGCCAUUGCUCCAAAAAAAUCCACAAGCUGGCCUUCCUCCUCCUGUUCGGUAAGGCCCAACUUCAAACAUUCUUCCGAUGACCUCGAAAAUCGUGGCAUGUUGCUCCGCCCCUCCAACAAGCUGCCCGAGUUUCUCGAUCUCCCACCUGGACCGGGUUUCUUCCAAUGAAGCAUCAAUCUUCUCUCGGAGCUUGAUAAACUCCGAGAUCAGGCUCACCUCUGCAGCACCUCCAUAUUGAACAUCACCUGUCAACUAUGAAACACCUCUGUGGGAUUUGAAACUAGAACAUUGUGGCCAGAGAUAGAGACACCACCAUCACUCAGCAAUAGCCCUGGAAAGCUGCAAUAUUAUUCUCCUGUGUGUUUGUUCAUCAGCCUGUUCUGACAUGCUGUGGCACACCUCCACAACAGUCUGAUAGCCAAUAGCUAAAGGAACUUGAUGUUGAAUUCAAUUAGUCAAUUCAUUAUGACUACAAACAUGAACCUGGCACUGAAAUUCAUACCCAACAUGGCUGAAUCAUUUGAAUCAUGAAUGGACUGAACACUGUACAAUUAAGUGAGAAUAACCCUGCCGGUGACUUUAAAAUGAAAGCAAGAUUAUUGAUGAAGCAAUUGAAAAUAGUUGGGCUGAGGAUACAUCAUGAGAGAGAACUUCAUUGAUGCUCAGGGUUUGAGAUGAUUGACUACGAGCUAAAUUGACCUCCGAAUAACACCUUCAUUGUAUAGAAACCACAGAAGACAGUUGAACAGGUACAAAAUAUAAUCAACAUGUCUAAUAGAAUGUUUUUGCUAUCUCAAGCUGACUGGACUUAUAAAAAUAUAUUGUGCUUAGAAGUGAUACAGUGCAGAUUAAGCAGAUUUUUAUGUCAGAAAUAAAAGUUUUAAAUUUUGCAGACAGGCUGCAAAAUCUGGCUCGUCUUUUAAUUUAAUUGGAUAUGGUGGUCUAACCAAGAUACAGGUCAUUCUGCUAUAAUGUGCAUUUCGUUAACAUGAAUUCACUGUAACACAAUUGACGAAUUAGAGGCACUG